rnacentral:lncRNA from 1 species
UUUCAUUUAUUUAUUCAUGAGACACACAGAGAGAGGCAGAGACAUAGGCAGAGGGGGAAGCAGGCUCCCUGCAGGGAACCCAAUGCUGGACUCAAUCCCAGGACUCUGGGAGCAUGACCUGAGCCAAAGGCAGACACUCAACCACUGAGCCACCCAGAUGCCCCCAUAGGCUGUAUUUCUCAAAUAUAAAUCUAAACAUGUCCUUUCCUUGCUUAAGAGUCUUCAAUUUCCCCAAUUGCAUUUAGAAUAAAAUUAGCAUGGCACAGGAAGUUAGUGAUCUAAACUUUGUGUCCUUUCCAGCCGUUCUCACACUCCUUCCAUCUCCUGCCAUACAAGACUUCUUACCAGCCCCUGAGCACAGCAUGCAGGCUCCUGUGCCCCUGCCUCUGCCCAUGCUGAUCCCAGUGUCUUUCCUUCCCUCUACCUUUUCUACUUCUCAUCUGGUUCACUCCACGGUCCUUCUAGAGUAAAGCAGAGAUAAAGGGUAAUUCAGGAACACUGCAAUGUAUGCUUCCUGUAAUAUUUAUGGCUAUCCAAUUCUGCUGAAGAGAACAGAUGACACAGUAUAGAAAUAAGACAAAGAAAAGAAAUGACACUGGGACACCUGGGUGGCUCAGGGUGAGAUCCCAGAGUCCCAGGACCAAGUGCCACAUCGGGCUCCCUGCAUAGAGGCUGCUUCUCCCUCUACCUAUGUCUCUGCCUCUCUCUGUCUCUCAUGAAUAAAUAAAUAAAAUCUUUAGAAAAAGAAAGAUGAUAGUAAAUAUGGAAAGUAACCUCUAAGAUAUCUUAGAUAUCACUAAAGUGAAUAGGAAGGGACAGAAAGACUAUGUAAGCAUCAAAUAGUCAUGAGGCUCUCAGGGAAUCCCAUAAUCAUGAGGUCUUAGGCUCCCUUUUGGUAACAUCCUACCUGGCCCACUUGUUCUCUGGCCCAGAUAGAAAGAUAAAAUCUGUAACUGCUCAGAGGCUGUGUCAAGUCCCAAGACAAAAGUAUUUGCCUUCUGUAAUAGAGCAAGGUUAUUUUACCUUCAAGCAUCCUCCAACAUUGCUCACCCUUACUUUGGACCUCUUAACC